GCGGGUGUGGCGAAAUUGGUAGACGCAUCAGAUUUAGGUUCUGGCGGGAGACCGUGGGGGUUCGAGUCCCUCCACCCGCA
rnacentral:tRNA from 1 species